rnacentral:lncRNA from 1 species
UAGACGUCGUUUUUUUGAGAGAGAAACGUAAUAAAUUACUUGUUUCGAUUAUUUUAUUUAAAAAUAAAAUAAUUAUAAAAUAUGAAGUAAUUAGAUUUCGAACUCAAGAUCUUAAGUAUCAGCAAUUAAACUUUUUACCAUUUGCGCUAAAAACAGUCGAUCUAAAUAUUGCGCUAGCUAGGAAUGGUACGUCUAAAUAUUCAUUUUUGUUUCCAAA